UACAGAGGUCUCAAGCGUUGUUCGGAUUCAUUGGGCGUAAAGGGUGCGUAGGCGGCGCGGUAAGUCGGGUGUGAAAUCUCGGAGCUUAACUCCGAAACUGCAUUUGAUACUGCGGUGCUUGAGGACUGGAGAGGAGACUGGAAUUCACGGUGUAGCAGUGAAAUGCGUAGAUAUCGUGAGGAAGACCAGUGGCGAAGGCGGGUCUCUGGACAGUUCCUGACACUGAGGCACGAAGGCCAGGGGAGCAAACGGG
rnacentral:rRNA from 1 species